rnacentral:tRNA from 1 species
GCCUUCUUAGCUCAGUCGGUAGAGCAUCAGACUUUUAUCUGAGGGUCGUGGGUUCGAGUCCCACAGAGGGCG